rnacentral:rRNA from 1 species
CCUACGGGGGGCAGCAGUGGGGAAUAUUGCACAAUGGCGGAAACCCUGAUGCAGCGACGCCGCGUGAAGGAAGAAGUAUUUCGGUAUGUAAACCUCUAUCAGCAGGGAAGAAAAUGACGGUACCUGACUAAGAAGCCCCGUCUAACUACGUGCCAGCAGCCGCGGCAAUAUGGAGGGGGCAAGCGUUAUCCGGAUUUACUGGGUGUAAAGGGAGCGUAGGCGGUGAUGCAAGGCAGAAGUGAAAGCCCGCAGCUCAACUGCGGGACUGCUUUUGAAACUGUGGAACUAGAGUGCAGGAGAGGUAAGUGGAAUGCGUGGGGUAGCGGUGAAAUGCGUAGAUAUUAGGAGGAACACCAGUGGCGAAGGCGGCUUACUGGACUGUAAAUGACGCUGAGGCUCGAAAGCGUGGGGAGCAAACAGGAUUAGAUACCCCAGUAGUC